rnacentral:lncRNA from 1 species
GGGAAUGACCACCAGCUGGCCCGAUUGGGGGUCCCUGACAAACUGGAGGAUCAUAGGUGUCAGCGACAGCUCGGACAGCCCAGGGGACGAGAGGGAGAAGCAGGGUUGCCCCAAGGAACUGUUUGCCACCAGGCCAUGAGUCAGGACAACCACCGCUCGGAACUGAAGGGCCUCCCGGGGCCUUCCACACUCACUGUAGGGGCAGUGGGGCCACCUGGCCUGGGCAGGGCUGGCCCGAUGCUGAGGACCAGGGCGACUCCCGCUCUCAGUACCAUAGCAUCCAUGGUCAAGGGGCCAAGCCCACCUGGGGUCAUCCAGCUGCCCCUCACCCCCAGGGGCUCCCAGAUACCCCCUAGACCCUCAGGAUCCCCCGACACCCUCACCUGAGCAGCUUCUCCUGAUCCCGGUCCAGCCGUGCCCCGAGCAGCCGUUCCUCCCGGUGUCUCGCCCGGUCGUCCACACAGUCCUCAUCUGCUCGGCCGUGCCCUGCAGAGGGCCAGGUGGAAGUGAGCCCCCAGCCAGCACCGAGCCCACCCCAGACCCAUUGGCCCCACUGCUCUCACCCCUCCCUGGGCCCCCCAGAGCCCCGACGGUCCUGCACAGCCAUCCGUGUAGUGCCUUCACCCAACACCUUUCCUUAUGACGCAUCAAGCUCCCCCAAACCCCAACUGGGGUUCCUCAGGGCCAGAAAUCAUCCAUCCGCUCUGUCAUCCCCCAUCCAAAAGGCCUGUCUAUGUCCCCUAGACAGACAACCGUGGCGAUAAUUAGACCAACA